rnacentral:rRNA from 1 species
GACGCUAGCGGCAGGCUUAACACAUGCAAGUCGAGGGGCAGCGCGAGUAGCAAUACUUGGCGGCGACCGCGCAAGGGUGCGUAACGCGUGAGCAACAUGCCCGUAUCAGGGGGAUAAUCCAGGGAAACUUGGUCUAAUACCCCAUAGUAAUUUUGUAAGGCAUCUUAUAAGAUUUAAAGCUUUGGUGGAUACGGAUUGGCUCGCGUGACAUUAGCUGGAUGGUAAGGUAACGGCUUACCAUGGCUAUGAUGUCUAGGGGUUCUGAGAGGAAGGUCCCCCACACUGGAACUGAGACACGGUCCAGACUCCUACGGGAGGCAGCAGUGAGGAAUAUUGGACAAUGGAUGGAAAUCUGAUCCAGCCAUGCCGCGUGAAGGAAGAAGGUCCUAUGGAUUGUAAACUUCUUUUGUAUGGGAGCAAUAAGGCCUACGAGUAGGUUGAUGAGAGUACCAUACGAAUAAGCACCGGCUAACUCCGUGCCAGCCGCCGC